CAGAAUCCUUGUUCUCUCUCCCUUCCUGUGAUCUGCCUUCUUCCCAGCAAGCAAACGAAUCUCUUGCGGAUGAAGCCAUGUUUUUAGGGUUCAAAGAGGUAUCAUCUCAAUAAUUUCUCCAUUCUGGGAAUAUGACUGAUCUCAUAUAGUUGAAAUUGCUCAAUCAAGGAACUGAUCUCAUAGAAUAUUGCGUCUGAUCUUCAGAAAGAGAACUUCCUUUGCUAUUAAACCAAGCACAAGAGGCCGCAAUCCAAGAGAUUUUGCAAUUUUGUGGGCCUCUGGCCUUUCUCAAAGCUAGAAAUAACCCAAGCUUUAACAAUCAACAUGAAUUGACGUUGAUGGGAAGAUGUAAUCUGAAUCAGCUGCAUCUAAACUUCCCUUGCUCUUGCUGA